rnacentral:lncRNA from 1 species
CUGUUAGAAUUGAACUUAGAACUGAACAAAGUGAGUACUUAAAAACCUUCCCCAAAAAAACAAAGUUCUAACACAGAUCCAAAGCCUAUAACGCAGCACCAAUUUAACCCGGUCUGAGUUCAUCCGGCUCACCACCGGUCCACCACCGUGGUCCUGAUUGCAACCUCUCUACUCUUCUCUCCGACAACUUCUCUGAUCAGGUUAUUCUUCACUUCC